rnacentral:rRNA from 1 species
UGACCUCAGAUCAGGCAAGACUACC